rnacentral:rRNA from 1 species
GCGUGUGGUUUAAUUCGAUGAUACGCGAGGAACCUUACCUGGGCUCGAACGUAAGAUGACUGUAGGUGAAAGCUUACAUCUCUUCGGAGCAUUUUACGAGGUGCUGCAUGGUUGUCGUCAGCUCGUGCCGUGAGGUGUCGGGUUAAGUCCCAUAACGAGCGCAACCCCUACCUUUAGUUGCCAUCAGGUUAAGCUGGGGACUCUAAAGGAACUGCCUACGCAAGUAGUGAGGAAGGCGGGGAUGACGUCAAAUCAGCACGGCCCUUACGUCCAGGGCUACACACGUGCUACAAUGGCCGAUACAGAGGGCAGCUACCUGGUGACAGGAUGCAAAUCUCCAAAGUCGGUCUCAGUUCGGAUCGGAGUCUGCAACCCGACUCCGUGAAGUUGGAUUCGCUAGUAAUCGCGCAUCAGCCAUGGCGCGGUGAAUACGUUCCCGGGCCUU